rnacentral:rRNA from 1 species
GACAGAGGAGCCAAGCGUUGUCCGGACUGACUGGGCGUAAAGCGCCCGCAGGCGGCCGUGCGCGUGGGGUGUGAAAGCUCGCGGCUUAACUGCGAGAGGCCAUCCCAUACGGCACGGCUCGAGCCGUCCAGAGGCCGGUGGAAUUGCCGGUGUAGUGGUGAAAUGCGUAGAUAUUGGGAGGAACACCAGUGGCGAAGGCGGCUCAC